GUGAAGGAAAGUUGAAAAGUACUUUGAAGAGAGAGUUCAAGAGGACGUGAAACCGGUAGGAUGGAAACGGAUAGAGCCAACGAACAAGCCCGUAUUCAGCUAGUCGGCUGCGUGCGGCAUGCCUGUGUGCUCGUUCAGGGUGCAUGGGUGUGUGCGGUAUGCGGUCGGCUAGUGCAUUUGCGGGUGAUGUGCGCUGAGGCGUGUGGCGGAGUCCUGCAAACUGUCUGGAGAGGCCUCGCCUUCGGGCUUGAAACCUACAGGCGGGGAGUCGGGUUUCUGCUGCAUGUAGACGAAGCGRCUAGGUGCAAACGCGCUGUCGUGCUGCCGGGCUAGCUGCUUGGCCGGUCGCAUGCGACUAGGUCUUGUUGGUUGGUCUUGGUGGUACGGCAGUGCCCUGGUCGACCCUCGGUGUAAAAGUUGGUCAUCUCUCCGACCCGUCUUGAAACACGGACCAAGGAGUCUAGCGUAUGCGCGAGUCAUUGGGUGGAAAACCCAUAGGCGAAAUGAAAGUGAAGGUCUCUUCAUGAGGCUGAUAUGCGAUCCGUUGCACUACGGUGUACGCGGAGCAGCAUAGCCCCGUCUCGACUGCUUGCAGUGGGGCGGAGGUAGAGCGUAUACGCUGGUACCCGAAAGAUGGUGAACUAUGCCUGAGCAGGAUGAAGCCAGAGGAAACUCUGGUGGAGGUCCGAAGCGCUUCUGACGUGCAAAUCGAUCGUCUGACUUGGGUAUAGGGGCGAAAGACUAAUCGAACCAUCUAGUAGCUGGU
rnacentral:rRNA from 1 species